CAGUCGACGGUGAAGAGGAGCUUGCUCCUUGGAUCAGUGGCGAACGGGUGAGUAACACGUGAGCAAUCUGCCCUUGACUCUGGGAUAACUGCGGGAAACUGUAGCUAAUACCGGAUAUUACCUUGGAAGGCAUCUUCUGGGGUGGAAAGAAUUUUGGUCAAGGAUGAGCUCGCGGCCUAUCAGCUAGUUGGUGAGGUAAUGGCUCACCAAGGCGACGACGGGUAGCCGGCCUGAGAGGGUGACCGGCCACACUGGGACUGAGACACGGCCCAGACUCCUACGGGAGGCAGCAGUGGGGAAUAUUGCACAAUGGGCGCAAGCCUGAUGCAGCAACGCCGCGUGAGGGACGACGGCCUUCGGGUUGUAAACCUCUUUUAGUAGGGAAGAAGCGAAAGUGACGGUACCUGCAGAAAAAGCACCGGCUAACUACGUGCCAGCAGCCGCGGUAAUACGUAGGGUGCAAGCGUUAUCCGGAAUUAUUGGGCGUAAAGAGCUCGUAGGCGGUUUGUCGCGUCUGCUGUGAAAACUGGAGGCUCAACCUCCAGCCUGCAGUGGGUACGGGCAGACUAGAGUGCGGUAGGGGAGAUUGGAAUUCCUGGUGUAGCGGUGGAAUGCGCAGAUAUCAGGAGGAACACCGAUGGCGAAGGCAGAUCUCUGGGCCGUAACUGACGCUGAGGAGCGAAAGCAUGGGGAGCGAACAGGAUUAGAU
rnacentral:rRNA from 1 species